rnacentral:rRNA from 1 species
AACGAACGCUGGCGGCAGGCUUAACACAUGCAAGUCGAGCGCCCCGCAAGGGGAGCGGCAGACGGGUGAGUAACGCGUGGGAAUCUACCCAUCUCUACGGAAUAACGCAUGGAAACGUGUGCUAAUACCGUAUACGGCCUUCGGGAGAAAGGUUUAUCGGAGAUGGAUGAGCCGGCGUUGGGUUAGCUAGUUGGUGGGGUAAAGGCCUACCAAGGCGACGAUCCAUAGCUGGUCUGAGAGGAUGAUCAGCCACACUGGGACUGAGAAACGGCCCAGACUCCUACGGGAGGCAGCAGUGGGGAAUAUUGGACAAUGGGCGCAAGCCUGAUCCAGCCAUGCCGCGUGAGUGAUGAAGGCCCUAGGGUUGUAAAGCUCUUUCACCGGUGAAGAUAAUGAUGGUAACCGGAGAAGAAGCCCCGGCUAACUUCGUGCCAGCCGCCGCAGUAACAC